ensembl:lncRNA
CUCUCACACACACACAUACACCUCCCACUCACAAUGAGACUGCAGCAAUGAAAAGUCAAAGGUGAAGGAGGGUGAGAGAGAGAGAGAGAGGUGGGUGGAGAGAAAGAGAGAAGAGAAGUAUAAGAUGCAGGGUAAGAGCUAGAGAGCUAUAUAGACUGGUGCUGGAGGGUGAGAGGGGGAUAUAGAAAGAGAGAGAGAGAGAGAGAGAGAAGCAGAGACAGAGGGUGAGAGGGGGAUAUAGAAAGAGAGAGAGAGAGAGGCAGAGACAGAGGGUGAGAGGGUGAUAGAGAAAGAGAGAGAGAGAGGCAGAGACAGAGGGUGAGAGGGUGAUAGAGAAAGAGAGAGGCAGAGACAGAGGGUGAGAGGGGGAUAGAGAAAGAGAGAGAGAGAGAGAGAGAGAGGCAGAGACAGAGGGUGAGAGGGGGAUAGAGAAAGAGAGAGAGAGAGAGAGAGAGAGAGGCAGAGACAGAGGGUGAGAGGGGGAUAGAGAAAGAGAGAGAGAGAGGCAGAGACAGAGGGUGAGAGGGGGAUAGAGAAAGAGAGAGAGAGAGAGAGAGAGGCAGAGACAGAGGGUGAGAGGGUGAUAGAGAAAGAGAAAGGCAGAGACAGGGGGUGAGAGGGGGAUAGAGAAAGAGAUAGAGAGGCAGAGACAGGGGUGAAAGGGUGAUGGAGAAAAAGAAAAAGAGAGAGGCAUAGACAGAGGGCCUG